CGUGGCUGUGCUAGCCACAAAUGUCAGUCUGCAUUUAAACAAUCAACAAGCAGCACACAUGCUGCAGGCUCUGGGAAACACGGACCAUUGCAACACUAAGCGGGACUGUUUGGUGCAUCAAUCUUUAAAUGAUCUUCUUAGGAUGAUCCGAAGAAGGUUUCCAUCCACUUGAUUGACUCAUUUUGAUGUGUUUUUACUUUUAAUUUGACAAGUUGAGUUCAGUUCUAACAUCACUCCUUAAGAAGCUCUCACGAGCGAAACAUGUAGAGAGAUCUGCAACAAGUUGU